CUAACAUCAAGAAUUUGUAAACAUAAUAACACAUUUUACAAAAAGUUGGAAAAGAUGAAAAAUAUAGCUAUAGUAUUAUCACUUCUAAUUAUGGCGGUUGUACUAACAACAGCAUGCUUGAAACCAAAAACAAAAAUUCUGAUAGAAAAUAUCGACGAACCCCUUCUGAUAUACAUUCCAAAAUACGACAGCAAAUGUGAUGAAAAAAUUCCAUUUGAUGAAAAAAUUCCAUUUGAUGAAAAAGUUCCAUUUGAUGAAAAAGUAUCUACACUAAAUACCAAGCCAAUAGAUGAAAUAGAAUAUGUAUGUUACGUUGAAACAAAAUGUUCCUGUAAAAAUUCCUGUAAAAAUGGCGUAGGGUCUUUUAAUUCAGGAACCUAUCCCGUAUCUAACCUAUACAUUCCAAGUUCCGAACUUCCCGCUAUCGAUAUUAGGGAUGUUAAUAAACAGCUAAAUGAUCUUUAUCGUAAUAAAUAUAAUGUUAAUAACUAUCGUUACUGUUAGUGUAGGAUGAUACAUUUUCCGGUUACAUAAUGAAUAAAACCGAUUAUAUUAUAGUGUUAUUAUGUAUGUAUAUUAUUAGUAUUAUCAUUAUGAAUACCUUUUUUGAUAUGAUGUUUAUGUAAUUUUGUAUCUAAUAAAGAUUUAUUAUUACUA